rnacentral:misc_RNA from 1 species
GAUGAAGAACGUAGCGAAAUGCGAUAAGUAGUGUGAAUUGCAGAAUUCAGUGAAUCAUCGAAUCUUUGAACGCACAUCGCGCCCCUUGGUAUUCCAUGGGGCAUGCCUGUUCGAGCGUCAUUUGUACCUUCAAGCUCUGCUUGGUGUUGGGUGUUUGUCUCGCCUCUGCGUGUAGACUCGCCUCAAAACAAUUGGCAGCCGGCGUAUUGAUUUCGGAGCGCAGUACAUCUCGCGCUUUGCACUCAUAACGACGACGUCCAAAAGUACAUUUUUACACUCUUGACCUCGGAUCAGGUAGGGAUACCCGCUGAACUUAAGCAUAUCAAUAAGCGGAGGA